rnacentral:rRNA from 1 species
GACGACGGGUAGCCGGCCUGAGAGGGCGACCGGCCACACUGGGACUGAGACACGGCCCAGACUCCUACGGGAGGCAGCAGUGGGGAAUAUUGCACAAUGGGCGAAAGCCUGAUGCAGCGACGCCGCGUGAGGGAUGACGGCCUUCGGGUUGUAAACCUCUUUCAGCAGGGAAGAAGCGAAAGUGACGGUACCUGCAGAAGAAGCGCCGGCUAACUACGUGCCAGCAGCCGCGGUAAUACGUAGGGCGCAAGCGUUGUCCGGAAUUAUUGGGCGUAAAGAGCUCGUAGGCGGCUUGUCACGUCGGGUGUGAAAGCCCGGGGCUUAACCCCGGGUCUGCAUUCGAUACGGGCUAGCUAGAGUGUGGUAGGGGAGAUCGGAAUUCCUGGUGUAGCGGUGAAAUGCGCAGAUAUCAGGAGGAACACCGGUGGCGAAGGCGGAUCUCUGGGCCAUUACUGACGCUGAGGAGCGAAAGCGUGGGGAGCGAACAGGAUUAGAUACCCUGGUAGUCCACGCCGUAAACGGUGGGAACUAGGUGUUGGCGACAUUCCACGUCGUCGGUGCCGCAGCUAACGCAUUAAGUUCCCCGCCU